rnacentral:rRNA from 1 species
GGGAUUGCCUCAGUAACGGCGAGUGAAGCGGCAACAGCUCAAAUUUGAAAUCUGGCCCCGUCGGGGUCCGAAUUGUAAUUUGUAGAGAGUGCUUCGGGCGAGGCCUCGGUCUAAGUCCAUUGGAACAUGGUGUCAUAGAGGGUGAGAAUCCCGUAUGCGACCGUGGCUCGAGCCCAUGUGAAGCCUCUUCGACGAGUCGAGUUGUUUGGGAAUGCAGCUCAAAAUGGGUGGUAAAUUUCAUCUAAAGCUAAAUACCGGCUGGAGACCGAUAGCGCACAAGUAGAGUGAUCGAAAGAUGAAAAGCACUUUGGAAAGAGAGUCAAACAGUACGUGAAAUUGUUGAAAGGGAAGCGCUUGCAACCAGACCUGCCCGUAGGCGAUCAGCCGCUGUUCUCAGCGGUGUACUCGCUCUGCGAUCAGGCCAGCAUCGGUUUCGGCGGUUGGAUAAAGGCCUUGGGAAUGUAGCUUCCCUUCGGGGGAGUCUUAUAGCCCUCGGUGCAAUGCGGCCAGCCGGGACCGAGGACCGCGCUUCGGCUAGGAUGCUGGCGUAAUGGUUGUAAGCGACCCGUCUUGAAACACGGACCAAGGAGUCUAACAUCUAUGCGAGUGUUUGGGUGUCAAACCCAUGCGCGGAAUGAAAGUGAACGGAGGUGAGAACCCUGGAGGGCGCAUCAUCGACCGAUCCAGAUGUCUUCGGAUGGAUUUGAGUAUGAGCAUAGCUGUUGGGACCCGAAAGAUGAUGAACUAUUCCUGAAUAGGGUGAAGCCAGAGGAAACUCUGGUGGAGGCUCGCAGCGGUUCUGACGUGCAAAUCGAUCGUCAAAUUUGGGUAUAGGGGCGAAAGACUAUCG